GAUGAACGCUGGCGGCGUGCCUAAUACAUGCAAGUCGAGCGAACAGACGAGGAGCUUGCUCCUCUGACGUUAGCGGCGGACGGGUGAGUAACACGUGGAUAACCUACCUAUAAGACUGGGAUAACUUCGGGAAACCGGAGCUAAUACCGGAUAAUAUAUUGAACCGCAUGGUUCAAUAGUGAAAGACGGUUUUGCUGUCACAUAUAGAUGGAUCCGCGCCGCAUUAGCUAGUUGGUAAGGUAACGGCUUACCAAGGCAACGAUGCGUAGCCGACCUGAGAGGGUGAUCGGCCACACUGGAACUGAGACACGGUCCAGACUCCUACGGGAGGCAGCAGUAGGGAAUCUUCCGCAAUGGGCGAAAGCCUGACGGAGCAACGCCGCGUGAGUGAUGAAGGUCUUCGGAUCGUAAAACUCUGUUAUUAGGGAAGAACAAAUGUGUAAGUAACUAUGCACGUCUUGACGGUACCUAAUCAGAAAGCCACGGCUAACUACGUG
rnacentral:rRNA from 1 species